rnacentral:rRNA from 1 species
AUUGAACGCUGGCGGCAGGCCUAACACAUGCAAGUCGAACGGUAACAGGAAGCAGCUUGCUGCUUUGCUGACGAGUGGCGGACGGGUGAGUAAUGUCUGGGAAACUGCCUGAUGGAGGGGGAUAACUACUGGAAACGGUAGCUAAUACCGCAUAACGUCGCAAGACCAAAGAGGGGGACCUUCGGGCCUCUUGCCAUCGGAUGUGCCCAGAUGGGAUUAGCUAGUAGGUGGGGUAACGGCUCACCUAGGCGACGAUCCCUAGCUGGUCUGAGAGGAUGACCAGCCACACUGGAACUGAGACACGGUCCAGACUCCUACGGGAGGCAGCAGUGGGGAAUAUUGCACAAUGGGCGCAAGCCUGAUGCAGCCAUGCCGCGUGUAUGAAGAAGGCCUUCGGGUUGUAAAGUACUUUCAGCGGGGAGGAAGGGAGUAAAGUUAAUACCUUUGCUCAUUGACUUACCCGCAGAAGAGCACCG